rnacentral:lncRNA from 1 species
AAUACAACCAUCUCUCUCACUUCCUCUCCAUGCCAAUGAAGAAAAUUUCACUCUCUUCCAUGUCUUUUCCACUUUCACAAUCGUGUAUUUCUCUUCUCAUCUCUCGCCACCGUCAGCAGUGGAUUUUUUCCUGCGGCCUCCUCUCUAGCUCUCUCCGUCCAGUCACCGUAUUUUCAUGUCAUUGCAAAUAUGGACGAAAUCCAUUCAUAUUUUAAGCAUUUUGUUAUGAUCAAUUGUGUUUGGCAUUUGUUC